AUUCUUCCAUCAAACGGCCAUCUGCUCUCCAUAGCAAACGAACGGAUAGGAUUCCAUCAUCGCCAAUAUAAAAGGUCAACAGUCGGCAUUCGCCGAGGAGGGCUUUUGCCGCAGCCGAAGAGCGGCAACUGACGCACCUCCAAAAAGAAGGACAACACGAGGGUUUUCAUUGGAGGUCUGCUUGGCAUGGAGGCUUCCUCAACUUAUCAACUAUAGAAUGUGAAGUUACAAGAGUGAAAGGACUUGUGAAGUCAGUCAUCGAUUUAUAAUGUUCUUCAAGUUAAGGCAUGAGGUCUUCAUGUUUUCAGUA